CUUCUCAGAGCUGAACGUGACAAAUUGAAAGCGACGACUGAAAUCUAAACCUGUUUUCACAUCCUGCGUGCUUUAAUUUAAAGGAGCGGACGCUGUUUGCCCUGAUUCACGUUGAGGGAUAACAGUGUGCGUGAUGCUCAGAUGUGGAAUUAAGAGUUG